rnacentral:misc_RNA from 1 species
AACGCACGAGACCUGCGGACCUGCGGAGGGAUCAUUAAUGAGAAGCUGCCCCUCGUGGGUAGACCUCCCACCCUCUGUGAACUUACCUUUGUUGCUUUGGCAGGCCCGUCCUCUGGACCGCCGGCUUCGGCCGGCCCGUGCCUGCCAGAGGAUUCCAAACCCUGUCUGUCAGUGUUGUCUGAGUCUAUAUGAAAUCGUUAAAACUUUUAACAAUGGAUCUCUAGAUCGGAAGAGCACACG